rnacentral:rRNA from 1 species
CUGCUCAAUGAAUAUUUUUUAAAUAGCUGCACGUAUUUAUGACUGUACAAAGGUAGCAUAAUCAAUUGUCUUUUUAAUGAGGUCUGGAAUGAAGGAUUUAAUGUUAUAUAAACUGUCUCAAUUUAAUAAAAUGAGAAUUUUAUUUUUAGUAAAAAUACUAAAAUAUUUAUAUUAGACGAGAAGACCCUAUAGAAUUUAAUAAUUAAUAUUUUUAUUUUUAUUUGAAGUUUAAAAUAUUAAUUAUUUUAUUGGGGGUAUAUAAAAAUUUAAAAAAUUUUUUAUCAAAUAAAUUCAAUAAUAAUUGUAUAAUGUUUUGAGUGUAUUAUUUAUAUAAAAGAUAAAAUUACCUUAGGGAUAACAGCAUAAUUUUUUUGGAGAGAUCAAAUUUAUAAAAAAGAUUAUGACCUCGAUGUUGAAUUAAGAUAAAUAUAUAAUGUAGAAAUUUUAGAUUUUAGUCUGUUCGACU